rfam:Brachypodium distachyon strain Bd21 chromosome 1, whole genome shotgun sequence.
AACAUACUCUCUCUCCGUCCAAUAAAAUAUGUCUUAAAUUUGUCAAAAUUUGGAUGUAUUUAGACAUGACUUAGUGUAUAGAUGCAUUCAAAUUUAGUCAAAAUUGAGACAUUCUUUGUUGGACGGAAAAAGUACUUG